rnacentral:lncRNA from 1 species
CACACACAAAUAGAGGAGAAUUGCAAUAGCAGAUUUGGGGCACUGACCAGGGUAGUAUGACCUACAAAUAAGAGAACAUCAAAAACAGAAUAUCUUUGACUUAGGAGCAAGGUCUGGGGUAGGGGCCACAGGCACCACAUCUGGUCGCAGCAGUUUCAAGAAGCCCCUGAACCCAAGAAGUAGGCCAAGGAGAUGCAUGAGGAAGAUAAAGUUUCCAAGCAGAAACAGAGGAGCAGAAUGAACUAAAAGCAAAGGGCACAGGGAAGAAUCCUUUGACCACAGGUGGAAUUUUAAAAAUUUGGCAAAAAAAAAACAAGCUGUUCCUAAUGCCUGAGAUGGAGAACAUUGAUUCCAUUCCUUUUAGAACACUAGGAUCCUGUUAUAACAUCUUUUGCUGCCUAGAGCUAGAAUGAAGUAUUAUGUUGGAGUCUGUUGUAAGAAUAAACUUUUGUUAAAGAAAAGAUAGCAAGACCAGUCACAAUGGUGCACACCUAUAAUCCCAGUGACUCAGGAGGCUGAGGCAGAAGGAUCACAAGUUCUAGGCCAGCCUUGGCACCCUAAUGAGGUUCUAAGCAACUGUCUCAAAAAAUAAAAAGAGCUGGGGAUAUGGCUCAGUGGCAAAGUGCCCCUGGGGUUCAGUCCAGUACCACCCCCAAAAGUCUUACCAAAGUAAACAUAUAUGAUGUAUUCAUGCCUGUGAGUCGAAAAGCAUGUCAUCGGUACAGGAAUAUAGACAAAAUAUGCUGCAUUUCCAGAUGCUAGAGAAAACAGUUGUCUUCUUCAGGAUUAAAAAUAGAUUCCGAGCACAGGGAUGCACACCCAUAAUCCCAGCAACUUGAGACGCUGAGAUAGGAGGAUGGCAAGUUCAAAGCCAGCCUCAGCAACUUAAUGAGCCUCUAAGCAACUAAGCAGGAC